rnacentral:rRNA from 1 species
UACGUAGGGGGCAAGCGUUGUCCGGAAUUAUUGGGCGUAAAGCGCGUGUAGGCGGCUCGGUAAGUCUGCUGUGAAAGUCCAGGCUCAACCCUGGAACGCCGGUGGAUACUGUCGAGCUCGAGUCCGGAAGAGGCGAGUGGAAUUCCUGGUGGUAGCGGUGAAAUGCGCAGAUAUCAGGAGGAACACCAAUGGCGAAGGCAGACUCAGCUGG